rnacentral:rRNA from 1 species
AUUGAACGCUGGCGGCAUGCUUUACACAUGCAAGUCGAACGGCAGCGCGGGCUUCGGCCUGGCGUCGAGUGGCGAACGGGUGAGUAAUGCAUCGGUACGUGCCCAGUAGUGGGGGAUAGCCCGGCGACAGCCGGAUUAAUACCGCAUACGACCUGAGGGUGAAAGCGGGGGACCGAAAGGCCUCGCGCUAUUGGACCUUCCGAUGUCGGAUUAGCUAGUUGGUGGGGUAAAGGCUUACCAAGGCGACGAUCCGUAGCUGGUCUGAGAGGACGACCAGCCACACUGGGACUGAGACACGGCCCAGACUCCUACGGGAGGCAGCAGUGGGGAAUUUUGGACAAUGGGGGCAAGCCUGAUCCAGCCAUGCCGCGUGCGGGAAGAAGGCCUUCGGGUUGUAAACCGCUUUUGUUCGGGAAGAAAUCCUCUGGGCUAAUACCCCGGGGGGAUGACGGUACCGGAAGAAUAAGCACCGGCUAACUACGUG